GAUUUAAAAUUCCACUUUGUGCGUUCAUCUGCAAAAUCUGCACAGGUUUUAAUCUAAAAAUUGUUGGAAAAAACCUUAAAAUUCGUUGAUGGUUUAAAUAUUAUUCCUUGCCAAAGUAUGGGUAAGUAAAAUAUCGAAUUAUAUUGAAGCUAUAUGCUAUAAACAUGAACUUUUAGCUCCUUGUUCGCUGUUGUUUCAACGAAGUGGCUAAUCGUACUGGAACAGUACGCCGAGUGUGAUUUGCUAUUCGUACUGCAAUCGUAAUAUUUAAGAUAAACCCUUCUCUAACCCUAACCAAUAAAGCCCUAAUAAACUAUUUGAAAGUUUUUAUUUCGAGAAAAAAAAUUCUAAAAUAUUUUAAGAAAAAUUUCUAAGCCAAACAGACAACCGACGGCUAAAACUAAACCCGGACCCGACCUCGUUUCACUUCGCACGCACGCAACGCCUUUGCUGAAAUAUCCACUACCAGCCUGAAUUGCUGAAAGCUAUUGCAAAAAACUAUUUUAGGGCACAUAAAAAAAAUAGUUGGUUAGCGUCCUUAGCUUUUGCCAAAAAGUGGGCGGGCGGACGUUCUUUUUUGUUUUCAACGCCUUGGUGUUGGGUCCGAAACUGGAUUUUCAUGUGCAGUACAGAUAUUAUUUAUAUAUUUCAAAAUAUGAUUCAUACCGUCAUUUUCGCACACAAUUUCGCCACUUACAGUUGACAGAAAUACUACAUAUAUUAGAGCCUGUUGAUCAAUAAAAGUUGGGUUUUUUUAAAAUAAAAAAAUCCUGAGCGGGGCCAUUUUUGUGGGCGGGCGAGGACGCUAACCAACCAUUUUUUUUAUGUGGCCUUAUAUUACUACUUUAGAAAAUGUAAGAAUCGGGUAGCCUGCUCACAGACAUUGUUAUUCUUACGCCAAGUGACGAAUUACUACCGUCUGCUUACCCAAGCGCCAAACUGAAUUCCGCUACGUCGACCAAUCAGAAUUUACCUUCCAAAUUCUGGAAAGUGACUUCAGUUGAUUUAGGAGUGGAAUAAAUAUAAAUGUAUAGGUUGAAUUUUGCUCAAAAUUGCACAUAAAUUGAAUUUAAAGAUACUUGUCCAGGUAAUAAAAUGCACCAUUAAUGAUCAUAUUUGGAGAUGUUCGGUUAUAUUUAAAACGUGGACAAGAUUGCCAUAUUUAAUAUAAUGCAUGAAGCCAAACAGGCGAGACAGCAUCAAAAGCCAAAUAUAUUUCGCUGAAAUUUGAACUUUUGACGGAUGUUUAUCUUUAUAAGACAACAGAACUCGGAAGACAGAAAAUUUGAUAUAAUACUGUGGCAAAAUAUUAGCUUCAAAGUAAACUAAUUGUGCCGUGAUGAAUUUUCCAAUUUGCCCAAACUUUGAAAUGUUUAUACUCUAACUUGGCUAUACUUUUCUACAUGACAAUGAGAGCUUAAUCUUUUAGAAGUUUUCGUCAAAGUCAUGGCAUAUAGGAAGUAUCAAGAGCAACAUUUGGACAUAUCCUGAUAUACUCGAGUUUCCCGAUUGAUUGUUUGUCAUUGACAUUGUUAACAAAAAUUUAAAUUUCGCCUACUGCAUUGCUCUAGCACUUUAUAUACACCAAUUGUUUGCUCAACAUGCGAGAAGAUGAUCACAAUAUUAUUCUACGUAAACAUCGUAAAGUUCAACGCUAUAGUUUCCAAAAUAUAUCCACACACAAGUAACAAAUUUCAAGUUUCAAUGCAAACAAUAUAUUCCAAUGCAAGGGCUUUCCCCAGUAGCUAAUCUCUCAAUAAGGCCGCUUCCAAUUGGCUCUAACUCUUUUGAACACUGCCAGAUGAUUGGCUCCUAAAACAAAGGGAAUUGAAUAUGCAGCUCGGGUAAGCAGACGGUAGUAAUUCGUCGCUUGGCAUAAGAAUAACAACGUCUGUGAGCAGGCUAAGAAUCGGGUGCCAUACUUCAGUACGAUUAUUGGGUCAUACUAAUUACCGACAAUUACUUAUAACAAGCACGCAAUUACCGACAACAAGUAGGGGUGCACCUGAUUUGGAAUUUUCAAAUCCGGCUGGAACCGGAUUUGGGCAAAAAUUCCGGCCGGAUUUGAGAUAAACUGGUAAUGGUGACAAAUGGUCCCAAUUGGGUAUAAAUUGUGAUAAUUCAGUAUUUAAAUGGCGGUUUAUGUUUUUUACUAGUUUUAGUUAGUGUCAGUUUAGAUUUUUGAUUGUGUUUAAACCUUUUUUAAAUAUAUUUUUGUUAAUAACUUAAUAUUUUAUAAUAAUAUAAGUGUUUUUUAAACUUUAAAGCUGCCAAAUCAGCGGAUAUUUCUAUACGCUUUCUAGAUAUACUAUUGAAUUUUCCAAACUUUCCAGCCAGGCAAAGUUCCAACCCACACCAUGGAAUUUCAUUUCAGCACCCUAUAUCAUUCUAGAAUACCUUUAUUAAUCAUUUCAGCAACUUCGGCUAGCUUGCGUUGUUUUUGCUAAAUACUGCUCACAGGCUGUUGUCCAAGGGGGGGCACCCUCAGUCAUUAACCCCCUCGCCACAUUGCAACAUUAACAAAACAAUCAGCCCCACUGCCUCAAAACUCUCCGCCCCUGUCAUAAAGCAACCUCGUAGCCCUCUUUAACAACAGAUGUCGAAGAUGUCUACACGAUGCGAUGUUUGCUUAUGAUUGUUGUAUGCAACUUGCUGACCCCAUCCCUGCGACUUUGUGUCGUCUUUCUAUACAGUACGAUUAUUGUAUGUGUCAUUUCCAACCGAGAGAUAUUAGACCCUCUUUCUACUUUUUUUUACUUUGCCUUGUUCACAUUUUGAACAGGAAGCGUACCAAUUUCGCUUUCUCUCGUUGAUGUCCGCCAUUUUGAACUAUUUUUUCAUAAAAAAUGUAUGAAAGUUGCACGAUGUUAAAUUGUACGGCUAUCUACAGGGCACGAUUUGCGUCGCAGGGAUGGUGUCAGCAAGUUGCAUACAACAAUUGUAAGCAAAAAUCGCAUUGUGUAGAUGGGCCUUAAUUAAGGCAUUGAACCAGACUAGUUUGAUAUACCAACAACUUUUUCUGCUUCCGAUGCCAAAUUUCCCAAUUUUGAAACACCCCUUGGAGAAUGUAAUUCCCUCGAUGCAAUGCAGGUGGUUUUAGCUCCAUUUUUUUAAGCAUUUUAUAAAGUGUAUGCUAUGUACAUGCUAUGAAGCUAGUUUUGUUGGCAUGCUUUUUUUGAAAAUUUCAGCGGCCAUGUUGUUCAAGCCAAAACAAGCUAGGUUAAACCCAUCAUGGAUUGUAAAAUAACAUUUAUUUUAUUAUCCAUGGUUAUAUGAACAAGGUUUUUUCCAGGAUUUUCUCUUGGGUCCGUUUUUGCAGAGAAGAUUGACACCUGGCCUGACACCUGUACUCACCGGGGCCUGACACCUGUACUCAAUAAAUGUAAUUGAGACUGAAUGUGUUAAAGCAAGGACACUAUAAACUGGUUAAAGAUGGCUUGUCAGGCUUCCAACUGAAAACUAAUUCCGACACGUCACAAAUUUUAUAACUCAAACAACUUCAUUUUUACUGCACUGAAACUUUGGUGAGAAGAUUGAGUUUCAAAACUCAAUUCAAGAUUGAGUUAAAAAAAUCCCUGAAAAAAACCCUGAUGAAGUAAGGUUUGAACGUAAAAAAUGACUUUCUAUUCAGUUCUGUAUACAGUUCAGUGGCUCAGACAACUUCAGAUUAUCGCCCGAAGACCUGGGAACGAACUUGCCGAAGAGCAUGCAUAUAAAGCAUAAAUUAUGAAAUAAAUUAAUGAGGUUGAUUUAAUAAUACUGUAUUUUUGUUGAUUUUAAAAUGUUUAGCGAGCAAACAUUGUUAUGUUACAAUCGUGGUUGGGUCAAACAAUAUGUGGAAAGCAAAAGUAGCGAAGCUAAAGAGAUUAAAAUUGGAUUUAGUGCGUAUAUUUGAAAAAAAUUACCACCAAAUAUGGUAUCCCCCCCCCGUUCACAACACUUGUGACGUCAUUUACAUACGGGACUUCGGGGGCGGGUUUUGGCGGGAAAAUCUGUAAUGUUUGGAGAAGACAAGAUGGCGCCGGUUACCUCGUGUCAUAUCAAAGGGCAUUUUUGUUCACAAAUACCCGCUUAUUUUACGUUAUAGCGACUGGUUAGUUUUGGAAAUUAUAACUCAAUGGACGGGGAAAACGAUUCUGUAUUAAAGAGAAAAAGAUGUGCAGUUAUUGUGAUGUUAUUUGUUGUGAAAGACGGCCCGAAAUUUCGCUACAUCGCAGUACUGGUUUAUAAAACAUUUACAAGCAACAGCAAUUGAACUAUAUGACAAAGAAACCAAUAUAUACAAGCCAAUCAAUUUCUUCUGUUUAAAGGUCAGUUUAAUUUUUAAUAAUUAGUUCAUUUAGUUGUAUAUUAAUACGAAGUACUGGGACAGUACGUAGUUUGAUGCCGAGUUUGAUUUGCUAUUUGUACUGUAGUCGGAAUAUUUAAGAUAAGGUAUGGAUAAACAGACCCCAACCCCUUUUCUAACACUAACCAAUAAAUGUGUAAUGAACUAUUUGAGAAUUAAAAAGGUUAGGGGGGGGGGGGAAUUUAAAAAUAUUGUAAGAAACAUUUCUACAGGGCUGUUUUAUAUGGAAAAGCAGGGUUGGCCCUCUUCGCAGGAUGAAUUUUGCUUGCGUUUAAUAUAUAAGGAAAUUUUAUCCUGCUUGCUGGGCUAGAAAUUGUUUACAAUGCACUCAAUUGGCUUUCCCGGGACAACUUUCAAAAUUAAUUUUUGCUUCAAAACUCACUAUUUUGUAAACAUUGAAGGGUCUCUGUAAGGAACGAAAUUAACCCAAACCGGAAACAAUCGAAACCGGAAAUUCCCACCUAAUUUCCUGCAUAAACAAAUAUAAAUUAUAUUGUUGAUGCUAGAUCACUGGCAUUUCAUUUAGAUAAAUAUCCUCCGAAUGUCAUAAGUCACAAGGUUGUAUACUAUUUAACUGCUAACAAUUUUGUAAAUUAUUCAAUAAUCUUAUUGCAUCUUCCUGAACAAUGCUGGUUUUGUUUGAAUAAAACGAUAUUGCAUUCACUUUCUCAUUUGACAUCCGAUAUGGCUUCCACUAAAAUGGCAUGCUUCGUGAUUUAAAAAAAAAAAUACAUGCUCAUUUAUAUGUUUCCAAAUCCCAAUUUAUCUGACUGCAUUUUAAUGGUUCAAAUAUUCAGAACUUUGUUCUUUCAAUCACAAGUAGUACAAGUAUUAUUGCAUUCAAUGGUAGUAUUUUAUUCGGCUUUAUAUGUGUAUUUUGUAUGUGUAUUUUUUAUAUUUGCAGGGCUCAAUAUAACAGCCGAUAGGUCUCCGGUCAAAAUGACCGGUCAACUUGAUUUUAGCUCGGUCAAAAUCUGUUUUCGACCGGUCACUAAUACAUACUUGUGCACUAACAGUGAAAAAAAGUUAUAAGAAAUUUGUCUUGAGACAACUUUUAUUGCUUUGUCAUGUUUUAAACGCUUAGUUAAGAUGUUAGCAGUCCCUAUAUAUAAAGGUGAACAGGUAACGUUAUCGUCGUUACCAGAGUUGUUUGCCGAUCUGAUUGUCGAGGUUUCAGUUUUGCCGCUGAAAAUCCUGAGGGCUUUUGUGUCGUGCGACUACUUUCGCAGCUACCUUCUUUACAUUUUCCAACAAGAAAAUUUUCUUCGCUGUAACCUAGUGUUUUAGCAAGCCACAGAGCAUAUGCAAAUUGAGUCUUGCAAAAAAUGCAAGGGCUUUCCCCAGUAGCUAAUCUCUCAAUAAGGCGGCUUCCAAUUGGCUCUAACUCUUUUGAACACUGCCAGAUGAUUGGCUCCUAAAACAAAGGGAAUUGAAUAUGCAGCUCGGGUAAGCAGACGGUAGUAAUUCGUCGUUUGGCAUAAGAAUAACAACGUCUGUGAGCAGGCUAAGAAUCGGGUGCCAUACUUCAGUACGAUUAUUGGGUCAUACUAAUUACCGACAAUUACUGAUAACAAGCACGCAAUUACCGACAACAAGUAGGGGUGCACCUGAUUUGGAAUUUUCAAAUCCGGCUGGAACCAGAUUUGGGCAAAAAUUCCGGCCGGAUUUGAGAUAAACCGGUAAUGGUCCCAAUUGGGUAUAAAUUGUGAUAAUUCAGUAUUGAAAUGGCGGUUCAUGUUUUUUACUAUUUUUAGUUAGUGUCAGUUUAGAUUUUUGAUUGUGUUUAAACCUUUUUUAAAUAUAUUUUUGUUAAUAACUUAAUAUUUUAUUAUAAUAUAAGUGUUUUUUAAACUUUAAAGCUGCCAAAUUGAUGGCUUACCCCAUUCUUAAAUCCGGCCGGAAUUUCGGCCGGAUUUGAAAUCCGGUGCACCCCUAACAACAAGCACACAAUUACCGACAACAAGCACACAAUUACCGACAACAAGCUGAAAAAUACGGACAACAAGCAAAUACAUACUUUCAUUGUAUUCUUAUAGUUAUUUGGUUGUUUUUGAGGAAACCCAAAAUAUAUACAGAUUUUGUCAAACAUUGUUGAGUUAAAACAUUCCGCUAUUAAAGAUGAUGGAUUCACGUAGGCAGACACCAUAUAAAAGUAUAGAUAGGAAACGAAAUUUCAAGUAGAAAAUCAGUAUUAACUAACCUAUUAUCUAUAAUAAUAUAACUAUUGUAGGUACUUUGAAUAAAUUAUUGAUUGAUUGAUUGAUUGAUUGAUUGAUUGAACUACCAACUUCUAUAAUGUGUGUAUGCGUAUAAUGUGUCUAAAAUGUUUAAUAAGUAACAAACAGAGACAAGCUAUAAAUUAUUUACAUCAAUUCAUACAGCCAUGCAUUCAUACAAAUAACUAUAAGAAUACAAUGAAAGUAUGUAUUUGCUUGUUGUCGGUAUUUUUCAGCUUGUUGUCGGUAAUUCAAAUUGUGAGCUUGUUGUAGCAGUAAUUGUGUGCUUGUUGUCAGUAAUUUGCUGCUUGUUGUCGGUUGUUGAUGGUAGUUGUUAGUAUGACCACGAUUAUUAGUUCAAUCGAAAAAUCAUUUAUAUUUUCACAUUUGGAAUUUUUUACGAUUGAUCACGAAGAUCAGCGGAUAUUUCUAUACGCUUUCUAGAUAUACUAUUGAAUUUUCCAAACUUUCCAGUCAGGCAAAGUUCCACCCCCCACCAUGGAAUUUCAUUUCAGCACCCUAUAUCAUUCUAGAAUACCUUUAUUAAUCAUUUCAGCAACUUCGGCUAGCUUGCGUUGUUUUUGCUAAAUACUGCUCACAGGCUGUUGUCCAAGGGGGGCACCCUCAGUCAUUAACCCCCUUGCCACAUUGCAACAUUAACAAAACAAUCAACCCCACUGCCUCAAAACUCUCUGCCCCUGUCAUACAGCAACCUCCUAGCCAUCUUUAACAACAGAUGUCGAAGAUGUCUACACAAUGCGAUGUUUGCUUAUGAUUGUUGUAUGCAACUUGCUGACCCCAUCCCUGCGACUUUGUGUCGUCUUUCUAUACAGUACGAUUAUUGUAUGUGUCAUUUCCAACCGAGAGAUAUAUUAGACCCUCUUUCUACUUUUUUUUACUUUGCCUUGUUCACAUUUUGAACAGGAAGCGUACCAAUUUCGCUUUCUCUCGUUGAUGUCCGCCAUUUUGAACUAUUUUUUUCAUAAAAAAAUGUAUGAAAGUUGCACGAUCUUAAAUUGUACGGCUAUCUACAGGGCACGAUUUGCAUCGCAGGGAUGGUGUCAGCAAGUUGCAUACAACAAUUGUAAGCAAAAAUCGCAUUGUGUAGAUGGGCCUUAAUUAAAAGGCAUUGAACCAGACUAGUUUGAUAUACCAACAACUUUUUCCGCUUCCGAUACCAAAUUUCCCAAUUUUGAAACACCCCUUGGAGAAUGUAAUUCCCUCGAUGCAAUGCAGGUGGUUUUAGCUCCAUUUUUUUAAGCAUUUUAUAAAGUGUAUGCUAUGUACAUGCUAUGAAGCUAGUUUUGUUGGCAUGCUUUUUUUGAAAAUUUCAGCGGCCAUAACUGGAACAACUUCAUUUUUACUGCACUGAAACUUUGGUGAGAAGAUUCAGUUUCAAAACUCAAUUCAAGAUUGAGUUAAAAAAAUCCCUGAAAAAAACCCCUGACGAAGUAAGGUUUGAACGUAAAAAAUGACUUUCUAUUCAGUUCUGUAUACAGUUCAGUGGCUCAGACAACUUCAGAUUAUCGCCCGAAGACCUGGGAACGAACUUGCCGAAGAGCAUGCAUAAGCAUAAAUUAUGAAAUAAAUUAAUGAGGUUGAUUUAAUAAUACUGUAUUUCAGUGGCGUAACUACUAUGGGCUCAGACCGGGUGAACCCGCGGGCCCCCAACCCAAAUGGGGGCCCCCAGGCUUAGGCGAUAGGGCAAAAACAUUGGCUAGGGCCUCUGAUAUAUGUUACAAUGUCGUUUUAUGACCAUCAGAAUUCUGUAAAAUCUCUCCCCAAAGUCCAGGAAAUGGCAUUUCAGAGAGUCUAGAUUCAAAAGUUUUCCGGAUGACCAUGCCCUGGACCCCCUAGAAAACUUGUGCAUAUACGGCACUCGACUCGUGCCAUUGGCACUUUUACUAGGGGGGCCUUCAAAAAUUUUGAACCGGGGGUCCCUUGAUAUACCGUUACGCCACUGCUGUAUUUUUGUUGAUUUUAAAAUGUUUAGCGAGCAAACAUUGUUAUGUUACAAUCGUGGUUGGGUCAAACAAUAUGUGGAAAGCAAAAGUAGCGAAGCUAAAGAGAUUAAAAUUGGAUUUAGUGCGUAUAUUUGAAAAAAAAUUACCACCAAAUAUGGUAUCCCCCCCCCCCGUUCACAACACUUGUGACGUCAUUUACAUACGGGACUUCGGGGGCGGGUUUUGGCGGGAAAAUCUGUUAUGUUUGGAGAAGACAAGAUGGCGCCGGUUACCUCGUGUCAUACCAAAGGGCAUUUUUGUUCACAAAUACCCGCUUAUUUUACGUUAUAGCGACUGGUUAGUUUUGGAAAUUAUAACUCAAUGGACGGGGAAAACGAUUCUGUAUUAAAGAGAAAAAGAUGUGCAGUUAUUGUGAUGUUAUUUGUUGUGAAAGACGGCCCGAAAUUUCGCUACAUGGCAGUACUGGUUUAUAAAACAUUUACAAGCAACAGCAAUUGAACUAUAUGACAAAGAAACCAAUAUAUACAAGCCAAUCAAUUUCUUCCGUUUAAAGGUCAGUU
rnacentral:lncRNA from 1 species